rnacentral:rRNA from 1 species
AGCGAACGCUGGCGGCAGGCCUAACACAUGCAAGUCGAACGAACUCUUCGGAGUUAGCGGCGGACGGGUGAGUAACACGUGGGAACGUGCCUUUUGGUUCGGAAUAACUCAGGGAAACUUGUGCUAAUACCGAAUGUGCCCUUCGGGGGAAAGAUUUAUCGCCAUUAGAGCGGCCCGCGUCUGAUUAGCUAGUUGGUGAGGUAACGGCUCACCAAGGCGACGAUCAGUAGCUGGUCUGAGAGGAUGACCGGCCACACUGGGACUGAGACACGGCCCAGACUCCUACGGGAGGCAGCAGUGGGGAAUCUUGCGCAAUGGGCGAAAGCCUGACGCAGCCAUGCCGCGUGAAUGAUGAAGGUCUUAGGAUUGUAAAAUUCUUUCACCGGGGACGAUAAUGACGGUACCCGGAGAAGAAGCCCCGGCUAACUUCGUG